AGGGAAUCUUCGGCAAUGGACGGAAGUCUGACCGAGCAACGCCGCGUGAGUGGAGAAGGUUUUCGGAUCGUAAAGCUCUGUUGUAAGAGAAGAACGAGUGUGAGAGUGGAAAGUUCACACUGUGACGGUAUCUUACCAGAAAGGGACGGCUAACUACGUGCCAGCAGCCGCGGUAAUACGUAGGUCCCGAGCGUUGUCCGGAUUUAUUGGGCGUAAAGCGAGCGCAGGCGGUUAGAUAAGUCUGAAGUUAAAGGCUGUGGCUUAACCAUGGUACGCUUUGGAAACUGUUUAACUUGAGCGCAAGAGGGGAGAGUGGAAUUCCAUGUGUAGCGGUGAAAUGCGUAGAUAUAUGGAGGAACACCGGUGGCGAAAGCGGCUCUCUGGCUUGUAACUGACGCUGAGGCUCGAAAGCGUGGGGAGCAAACGGGAUUAGAUACCCUGGUAGUCCACGCCGUAAACGAUGAGUGCUAGGUGUUAGACCCUUUCCGGGGUUUAGUGCCGUAGCUAACGCAUUAAGCACUCCGCCUGGGGAGUACGACCGCAAGGUUG
rnacentral:rRNA from 1 species